rnacentral:rRNA from 1 species
GAUUAACGCUGGCGGCGUGCCUAACACAUGCAAGUCGAACGAUGAAACUUAACUGAUUUCUUCGGAAUGAUUUUAAGUGGAUUAGUGGCGGACGGGUGAGUAACGCGUGAGUAACCUGCCUUGGAGAAGGGGAUAGCCUUUGGAAACGAAGAAUAAUACCCUAUGAUAUGAUAAUAUCUCAUGAUAUUAUCAUCAAAGAUUUAUCGCUCUAAGAUGGACUUGCGUCUGAUUAGUUAGUUGGUGAGGUAACAGCUCACCAAGGCAGCGAUCAGUAGCCGGCUUGAGAGAGUGUACGGCCACAUUGGGACUGAGACACGGCCCAGACUCCUACGGGAGGCAGCAGUGGGGAAUUUUGCACAAUGGGGGAAACCCUGAUGCAGCGACGCCGCGUGAUUUAGAAGGCCUUCGGGUUGUAAAAAUCUUUUGUAUGGGAAGAAAAUGACAGUACCAUACGAAUAAGAACCGGCUAAUUACGUG